GCAGGUCCCAGUGUGAUAGGAGCAGCACCAGGUCCCAGUGUGGUAGCAGCAGGUGCAGAUUCCAAGCAUCGCCACUCAGGAUGGAACCCUGACUGGCUCAAAAUGCCACAGUUCAAGAAUUGGCUCUACCUCACCCAGCAUGGAAUGUUUUGCCGAAUCUGCAGGCAACACAAGCCUCCAGUUAAGAAAGGCCCCUUAAAACGGGCUUUCAUCGAAAUUGGUAUUCUUGUUUUCCGCAUGGAUUAUAUGGACCGCCACAUCUCCUCAGAGCCUCAUCAGUAUAGUCUGAAGCAGCAGGUCUCACUUGCAUCAGGCUACUCAGUGAUGCAGGCUUUUGAACCCACAGUAACCAUGGAGCAUGAGGCCGUCAUAGGUGGUUUCAAAUGCCUUUACUGGCUG